AUUGAACGCUGGCGGCAUGCCUUACACAUGCAAGUCGAACGGCAGCACGGGAGCAAUCCUGGUGGCGAGUGGCGAACGGGUGAGUAAUAUAUCGGAACGUGCCCAGUCGUGGGGAUAACGUAGCGAAAGCUACGCUAAUACCGCAUACGAUCUAUGGAUGAAAGCGGGGGAUCGCAAGACCUCGCGCGAUUGGAGCGGCCGAUAUCAGAUUAGGUAGUUGGUGAGGUAAAGGCUCACCAAGCCGACGAUCUGUAGCUGGUCUGAGAGGACGACCAGCCACACUGGGACUGAGACACGGCCCAGACUCCUACGGGAGGCAGCAGUGGGGAAUUUUUGGACAAUGGGCGCAAGCCUGAUCCAGCAAUGCCGCGUGCAGGAUGAAGGCCUUCGGGUUGUAACGUAGCUUUUGUACGGUAACGAAACGGUAGAGACUCUAAUACAGUUUGCUAAUGACGUACCGUAAGAAUAAGACACCGGCUAAC
rnacentral:rRNA from 1 species